AUUGUCAAGUACAGCGAAAACCUAAACAGUGAAAAUCGUUUUUGUUCACCGAUUUUCAUUUUCCAUUCAUCGCUGAUGAUGUAAUAAUAAAAUUACGAAACGUU